AGUCAUCUCUGAUGGAUUUUGGAGCACGACAGAAAGUCUGUUACUGGUUCUCUUUGUUCUUCCAGAUCAGUUAUUCAUAGCCAGGGCUCCCACGGCAGGUCCUGAGCCCACUGAGGCCAGGCUGCUCCUUGUGGUGGUGGCCAGCUCCAGCUGUUGUGUUACCAUGAGGCCAUGGCUGCAUUGUUUAAUAAUUUUGCUUUUGUUUUCCUUUGCAGAACUGUUAAAACCAGCAGACAUUCAGGCAAGCAGACCAAGACUGGGAAUGCUAAAUGUUGCACACUCAAAACCAUAUGAGCAAAAGUGGAACUCAUACAGGAAAGAUAGGAAUGGCUGAUUUUGAAGUAGAAAGACAAAAGAACUUAUUGAUAGCACAAGGGGAAAGACACACACAUUGAGGGUGUGCAAGAAGUGUUUAAAGACACGUUCAACAACUGGUAUUCAGACGUGAAGAAGAAAUUCUGCAGUAAACACAGCUGGAGACAGAACAUAAAGACAAAUGUCCCUAUUGCUCUGACACUUGGAUAGAAAGAACAGCCCUGCGGGCUGACCAGCAAGGAUGCCGCUCGGUUUAUCCUACCCCCGCCGGAGAUCCAUCCUGCCCCCGCCGGAGAUCCAUCCUGCCCCCGCCGGAGAUCCAUCCUGCCCCGGCAGCAGCGCUCGGGCUUUCCGCGGGCUCGCAGCUGCGUCCAACAGCAGAGGGAGCUCCGGGAGAGGAAGAGGAGCAGGCGAAGCUUGGCAGGAGCAGCCCCAGGAAGGAGGGAGGAGGGCAGGGGUGGACGGAGGUAACUGCAGGCUGCUCUGCUGCACCAGCUGGCUUCCUUGGACUGAACUUGGACACCUGCUGGACAAUGUCAUGCAGCAUGUCCUAGGUGGUCAGAGCCAGAAACAGCAACCUGGGAAGAGCUGCCCAAAAGUACUCAGACUUGAGCCUGGGGAAGACCAAACCUGAAACAGUGGAAGAAGUGUCUACUGGAAAAGUUUGAAAGAGGGUAUGGAGAGGUUUAAAUUAAAACCCAUUUGGGUUACCUUUAAAUACAUACCAAAACAAGCUAAAGAAAAAAACCAAACCAGCAACCCAGCAUAUGUUCUGUAGGAGGCAAGUCCUUCACACUUGUAUUUGCCCUGUUGGAAAGAGAAUCUUAAUUGGAUCCGGAUCUGCCCAGUUCCAGGUGUCUUCUCUCUCAGGUCCCCAGAGCCAUUUGUUUGUUUUGCUGGUGUGCCUCAGCUUGGCAGAGUAUCUUGAUUGCUAAGCAAAUGUGGAUUCAGCCAGCUCUGACCAGCUCUGGCAUCUAAAAAAAUCCUUUUUUCUUCCGCUUGAAUUUCUCUGCCAGCUGCCUUCGAGUCAGGAUUUCCCAGCCAGCAGCUCUUGUUAUUAUCUGUUUUCACUUGCCUUGAUGUUUACCAGAUUGGACUGCUUUUAUCUCUGCUAACCCUCCCUCACUGUGGAGUCCCAGUAUUACAUACCCUAUGUGCCUUGGCCACUGGGUCAGAGCAGAAAUAAGUAAAUAGAUAAUAAAAUCACCUUAUUGAGAAAACAGUGAGGUCUAAAAUAUUGGCCAAAAAUAACACAACUGAUGAUGAUCUCAGGGAAGAAAAUAGCUAGAAGGCCAAAUGAAGGUAUUAAAAAUCAAAGCUUAAAAUAAUUGACUCAUUAGCUCAUUAGACUAAAUCUGAGCUCUGCUAAAAUUCCCCACCAGAUGAAAACUCGGGUAUGAAAAUAGUGCCAAACAGCUGAGAGCAGGACAAGCUGGCCUGAUUUUUUCUGGUCUCAGAGUGAAUUGUUGCUAAGAAGUGCUUUCAUUCGCAACCUUAGAUACAUCAUACAGUCAUUUAGAUCAGAAGGUCUGAUUAAAAAUGCAUCUAAAAAUAUAAAGGGGAAAUUCUCAAUCUUUAAAGGGCCAUAAAGCUAUUCUGAACAAGCACCAAAAAUCACUUCCCAUCUCUUCCAGUUCUUGAAAACGUGGGGAGGAAAUAAAAUAUGGAAAAGAUAAGCUCCUAUUUUUUUAAAAAAUCAGUUCUUCAUCAAGACCAAUACACUUUCAAAAGUAAUAUAUUACAUCCAGGUAAAAAGACCCGCAGGUCUGGUCUCGUGACGGUUCAGUGUUUAAGAAAUAUUUAAGGAUAUCGGUGGCUUUUCAGUUAAAGGA